UUAUGGUCAUAUCAUGCUGAAACACUGGUUCUCGUACAAUAACCGAAGUUAAGCAAAGUCGAGCCUGGUCAGUACCUAGAUGGGUGACCGUUUGGGAAUCUCAAGGGGCCGUAAG